GUAUUGGGAUGAUUGGCAGCACAUAUUCUAAAAUUGGAAUGAUACAGAGAAGAUUAGCAUGGCCUCUGCACAAGGGUGACACACAAAUUCAUUAAGUGUUCCAUAUUUAA
rnacentral:snRNA from 1 species